rnacentral:tRNA from 1 species
AGAAAGGUGACUGAGUGGCUUAAGGUGGGCGUCGCCCGAAAGGGAGCGCUCUCUGGCGAAAGCCGGACGCAGGUUCGAAUCCUGCCCUUUCUCCCA